rnacentral:tRNA from 1 species
AAGUUUAGGUUAAAUAAACCAAGAGCCUUCAAAGCCCUAAACAAGAGACUACCCCCUCCUAAC